CACGACCAGCUUCCACCCGUUAGGGUUGCCCCAUAUUCAGGGGCCCCCAUCUGACCAGGAGAGACAUCACAGAAGCCCUGCCUGAGCUCCCAGUGGAUACCUUCUGAGGCCAACAAAGAGGUGGAAGGCACUUCCUUCAGCCACACGGUACCAGACCUCAGUCAGAAGCCAGCCAGAUGGGAGAAGUGGUGCUCAGCCAAUUGGGGUCCAGGUCCCAGAACUGUGGCCAGAAGACGAUAACAACCCCAAGUCUUUUCCUGCAACAAGGACAAAGUGCUGAGCUCUUCGGCCAACUUCUUACUGGUCUGCCAUGCUGAGCACACGGAAAUCACAUCCACCCAGGGGUGUGCCAGUGGCAGCAAAAUAGAAGAAAGCAGCAGCUAAAGGCUUCAUUGACAAAUGUCCCUGGCUCAACUGUGUGGUGUAAAAACUGGUCCUACUGACCUUCAACUGUGCUUGGUCAUAUAAAAGCCUGGUUUGUUUUUAA